rnacentral:rRNA from 1 species
UACGUAGGUGGCAAGCGUUAUCCGGAAUUACUGGGCGUAAAGCGCACGCAGGCGGUCCUUUAAGUUUGACGUGAAAGCUCCCGGCUUAACUGGGAGAGGUCGUUGAAUACUGGAAGACUUGAGGAAAUGAGAGGGGUGUAGAAUUCCCGGUGUAGUGGUGGAAUGCGUAGAUAUCGGGGGGAAUACCAGUGGCGAAAGCGGCACCCUAGCAUUUUUCUGACGCUCAUGUGCGAAAGCGUGGGGAGCGAACGGG